rnacentral:rRNA from 1 species
CCUACGGGAGGCAGCAGUGGGGAAUAUUGCACAAUGGGGGAAACCCUGAUGCAGCGACGCCGCGUGAAGGAAGAAGUAUCUCGGUAUGUAAACUUCUAUCAGCAGGGAAGAAAAUGACGGUACCUGACUAAGAAGCCCCGGCUAACUACGUGCCAGCAGCCGCGGUAAUACGUAGGGGGCAAGCGUUAUCCGGAUUUACUGGGUGUAAGGGGAGCGUAGACGGAAGAGCAAGUCUGAUGUGAAAGGCUGGGGCUUAACCCCAGGACUGCAUUGGAAACUGUUUUUCUAGAGUGCAGGAGGGGUAAGCGGAAUGGAUGGUGUAGCGGUGAAAUGCGUAGAGAUUAGGCGGAACACCAGUGGCGAAGGCGGCUUACUGGACGGUAACUGACGUUGAGGCUCGAAAGCGUGGGGAGCAAACAGGAUUAGAUACCCCAGUAGUC